GGCAGGGCUGGGGCGGCCGCGGACCUGCCUGGCCAUCAGGCCGAGCGUGGACCCUCGGACCUGAGAUUUGCUGUUUUUGUUUUCUGGGGUCUUCCCCCUUCCCCCCGCCAAGAGAAGGAGGAAAAAGGAUGACCGUUGUUGUUCUUUUUAAGAAGGAGAAAGAAGCUCACGCCGUGUCCAAGCCCAAGGCGGAAUUGUUGACAUCCAACAUCUCUAGCUAGCUGAUUUGGGUUGGAAAGGUGUUUUAGACUAGAUCAUAUAGCAGUCAGAUAAGCAUCCUUUAAAAAAAAGAAAAAAGAAAAGAAAGAAAAGAAAUCCAUCUAGUUUCUGACGAAUUAACAGGUGUACACCACACUCUAGGGUUUGUAUUUUGUCAGGGAGGGGAAAGUGGAAUACAGUCUUGUCUGUGUUCAGUUACUUGUUAAGAGUCUUUAUCUUCCUGAUUUGACUUUUUUUUUUAAAAAAAUGAUAACUCAAGAGCCAUCGUGAAAAUAUAUCUCAAAAUGCAUUGUCAUCUUUAAUUAGGGGCAGGUGACUUUUUUCAUUGUAAUGUCACAAGUCCUCAUAUUGAGUUUAGACCCGCUCUGUUUAAAUGUCGUCUUUUAAUCAAGUUGAGGUCAAAGCCAAACCCCAACCUGUCCACUUUUCCUCUGUCGUUUUCUCUAGCAUUGGCAUCAGGGUAGAAACUCCAACAACCUGCAGAAGUCACGUGUAAACUGAUGAAAAUUAGUGAAAAAAUCGUGGACAAUUGCAAGUAAUCGAAUUUUUCAAACUGAGCUAAGCUAGCUAAGAUGUGGAUUUGGUUCAUCUGAAAAUGCUUUGAUUAUAGGCAUUUUGAAGAUCCAUUCUUAUCUGCCUCCCCUAAUUUAGUUUGGAUACUGUUUAAUGAAAGAGGCCUGAAAUAGUUUCACGCAUUCAAAAUACUUGGCUCUUCCCACUUUCUGAGUAAAUUUUUUUUUCCACAUCCGUGUUGAUUACUCAGUUACUUGGACUUUUAAAAGUCUCUGUCUGGGUGAUUGCCCUGUUGGUGCUAUCUGAUUCAUUCAGGAAUGUAAGCUGCUUUCUUAUUGAUGACCUCAGAGAACUUAACUGCUUUAUCUUAAAAGUGAGAGUAGUUUUGUUGACUUUGUCCUGUGAGGUCUAAGGCCAGAGAAAGGGGACUAGGUGUUAAGGAGGAACCUCUAUUUUCAUGCCUUAGUGACCCUGCUUUUCAAAAAUAGAAGCAAAAAUGCAGUAGCCUCCAUAGAGAAGCUUGUAAAAUACUGUAUUUGAAACUUUGACUGACGUAGCAAGUUUUUCCUUUUUCCUUUUUUCUUUUUCUUUUAAUUAUAGGUCUGAUUCUUCUCUUUCUCUGCAGGUGCAGUUUUAGAAAAUAAACUUGCAUAUUAAAUAAAGUGCAGUAGCUGAAUGCGAAAGAGUCA
rnacentral:lncRNA from 1 species